ACUCCUACGGGAGGCAGCAGUAGGGAAUCUUCCGCAAUGGACGCAAGUCUGACGGAGCAACGCCGCGUGAGUGAAGAAGGUUUUCGGAUCGUAAAACUCUGUUGUCAGAGAAGAACAAAGAGAUCAGUAACUGGAUCUUUCUUGACGGUAUCUGACCAGAAAGCCACGGCUAACUACGUGCCAGCAGCCGCGGUAAU
rnacentral:rRNA from 1 species